AGUGAACGCUGGCGGUAGGCCUAACACAUGCAAGUCGAACGGCAGCACGGUAAGAGCUUGCUCUUACGGGUGGCGAGUGGCGGACGGGUGAGGAAUACAUCGGAAUCUACUUUUUCGUGGGGGAUAACGUAGGGAAACUUACGCUAAUACCGCAUACGACCUACGGGUGAAAGCAGGGGAUCUUCGGACCUUGCGCGAUUGAAUGAGCCGAUGUCGGAUUAGCUAGUUGGCGGGGUAAAGGCCCACCAAGGCGACGAUCCGUAGCUGGUCUGAGAGGAUGAUCAGCCACACUGGAUCUGAGACACGGUCCAGACUCCUACGGGAGGCAGCAGUGGGGAAUAUUGGACAAUGGGCGCAAGCCUGAUCCAGCCAUACCGCGUGGGUGAAGAAGGCCUUCGGGUUGUAAAGCCCUUUUGUUGGGAAAGAAAAGCAGCAGGUUAAUACCCCGCUGUUCUGACGGUACCCAAAGAAUAAGCACCGGCUAACUUCGUG
rnacentral:rRNA from 1 species